UACGUAGGGGGCGAGCGUUGUCCGGAAUCAUUGGGCGUAAAGCGCGUGUAGGCGGCUCGAUAAGUCUGCUGUGAAAGUCCAGGGCUCAACCCUGGGAUGCCGGUGGAUACUGUCGAGCUCGAGUCCGGAAGAGGCGAGUGGAAUUCCUGGUGUAGCGGUGAAAUGCGCAGAUAUCAGGAGGAACACCAAUGGCGAAGGCAGCUCGCUGGGACGUGACUGACGCUGAGACGCGAAAGCGUGGGGAGCAAACAGG
rnacentral:rRNA from 1 species